UGAGUACGAGAUGCUACGGCAUCGAAGCAGUCUAUGUCAUACUUCCAAGAAAAGCUUGCACUGUCAUAAACAAAGAAUGCCUGUACCAUAACCGACACAGGUGGGUAGGUAGAGUAUACUAAGGGGCGCGAGAUAACUCUCUCUAAGGAACUCGGCAAAAUGACUCCGUAACUUCGGGAGAAGGAGUGCCUUAUUUCUAAGGUUGCAAUAACAAGAUCCAAGCAACUGUUUACCAAAAACACAGGUCUCCGCUAAGUCGUAAGACGAUGUAUGGGGGCUGACGCCUGCCCAGUGCCAGAAGGUUAAAGAAGUUGGUUAGCAUUAGCGAAGCUGAUAACUGAAGCCCUGGUGAACGGCGGCCGUAACUAUAACGGUCCUAAGGUAGCGAAAUUCCUUGUCGGGUAAGUUCCGACCCGCACGAAAGGCGUAAUGAUUUGGAUACUGUCUCGGAGAGGGGCUCGGUGAAAUAGACUUGUCUGUGAAGAUGCGGACUACCUGCACCUGGACAGAAAGACCCUAUGAAGCUUUACUGUAACUUGAGAUUGAAAUUGGACUUUAUUUGCGCAGUAUAGGUGGGAGGCGUUGAGAAUAAUCUUGCGGGAUUGUUGGAGCCAUCAGUGAGAUACCACUCUUGUAAUGUUAGAUUUCUAACUUUGUAUCAUUAUCUGGUCAAAGAACAGUUUCAGGCGGGCAGUUUGACUGGGGCGGUCGCCUCCCAAAGGGUAACGGAGGCGCACAAAGGUUUCCUCUGAACGGGUAGAAAUCGUAUCUAGAGUGUAAAGGCAUAAGGAAGCUUGACUGUGAGACCUACAAGUCGAGCAGGGACGAAAGUCGGUCUUAGUGAUCUGACGGUGCUGAGUGGAAAGGCCGUCACUCAACGGAUAAAAGUUACUCUAAGGAUAACAGGCUGAUCUCCCCCAAGAGUUCACAUCGACGGGGAGGUUUGGCACCUCGAUGUCGGCUCAUCGCAUCCUGGGGCGGUAGUCCGUCCCAAGGGUUGGGCUGUUCGCCCAUGAAAGCGGUACGCGAGCUGGGUUCAGAACGUCGUGAGACAGUUCGGUCCAUAUCCGGUGUAGGCGUUAGAAUAUUGAGAGGAGCCUUCUCUAGUACGAGAGGACCGAGAAGGACAUACCUCUGGUGUACCAGUUAUCGUGCCAACGGUAAACGCUGGGUAGCUAUGUAUGGAGUGGGUAACCGCUGAAAGCAUCUAAGUGGGAAGCCCACCUCAAGAUAAGUAUUCUCAU
rnacentral:rRNA from 1 species